UUAUCAUUUCCAACAUAUUUCAAUACCUCUCACCCCCAAACCCAACCCAUUCUUCAUUAAUUGAGUCAUUUGGGAAGGUGGGAAGGAAAAUACCAGGCAUUUUCGGUACAACUUCUUUCUUUUCCGAACCACCUAUUCCGCAAAUUUCCUGUGGUUCCUCUUUCCUCUCUACUCUCAUACGAAUGGAUGUCCAAAAACUGCAAUAUCUUUAUUCCAUUCACUAUGUAUAUAUAGUGUGCUUAACAAGAGAGGUGAAGGAUAUACGGGGAUGAUGGUUGAGAGAGGUGAAGGAGAAAGAGCGAAGGGGAAAGUGAGUUAUGGAAUUCCUUCGGAGUGGGAGGGCAGGAAAGAAAAUAAAACUGUUGGUCAGAAACACGGUUUUUCUUUCCUAGUCCUCCCAUUCCAUUGGUUUCCUGCUAUUCCUCCCUUUCGCUUACUUUUCCUGCUUGGGGUUCAUGGGUUCAGUGACUUCAGUCUAGACCGCAAUAAUUGAUAGAGGUUGGGUGGCUGUAAAUCAAGUGAUAAAACAAGGCUAAUUUGUAUAGUUUAUUUAGGCCCACACAGCUAGGAAGGCAUAUGUUAGGUUGAGAGAGGAUAAACUUUGAAUGUGAUUCUCAUCUUCACAAGCAAUCCAAUUUCACGACAACGAGAGGGAGAGUGCAUGGCCUACCAUGACGUACGGCGCGCAGGAUCGAUGGGAACUAGAUAAUCAUAUUUAUAUAAUUAUAUAUUUUAAAAUUUAGUAUAAAGUGUAUAUAUAUAUUAAAAUUAUUCGCAUAACCAUCAUUCAUUUUAAAAACAUAAACUUAUAAAAAAUUCAAUUAGCCUGCAACGCAUCCCCAUUUGAGAAUAUUCCACUUAGCGAGGGUUGUCCCAAUCAAUAAUUGUAUUAUUUUAACAUCAAUCAGUCAAUUUGUGCAAUUUUCUUUCUUGGAACGGUAGAUCAAUGGGUAUGUUAUGUUAGUUAUCUCUUUGUAGUAACAGAGAAGAGGGUGGAUGAGUUGUUGGUUUUAAUCUUUAUGAAAAGAGUUUUACUAUAUACAAGCAAAGUCGUGUACUAAUAUGCGUAUCAAUACUGAUUUUUUCAUACUUAAAAUUUAAAUUAGUACUGUUUCAAUAAAAUUUACUUUUUGAUCAAUUACAAUAGAUUAGUGUACAUAUUAAUAUAUAAUUAUGUUUGUAAUUAGAUUUUUUUUUAUAAAAAUGCAUAAUGUCAUCUAUUAUAGAGAAUAAAAAGUCGUUGAUAUGGUUGUCAUGUAUGGAAUGCAAAUAUAUAUAUAUAAUAUUGAAAAUUGAGAAAUGCAUGUCCUACUUAAUAAGAAUGUUACCAGAUUGUAAAAGCACUAGAAAAUUGAAAAUUAAAAGCAAAAGACAGAAAAAAGUAUCUAGUUUUUUUAAUGAAUAAAUCUUCAAGGGAUGAAGAUGGUAAAAGAUAAAUGGAAGACAUGAGUGAAUCUGGAUGAUCCUUUGUUAUAUCAUGCAAUGGUUGAAGCGAACCUAUGCCUAUGAGUUAGCGUUUGUGUAAUGAACGGCAAGCAAGCCUACAAGGCAGUAAAAGCUGGUGGCCGCGGCUGCAGAGAAAAGCCUUUCGCAAAAUCUCAGAACUAAAGCCCAUGAAAAUGAAAUGAUGGCCGAUCGAAUAAGCUAUACUAAUUUUUUUUUUUUUAAUCAGAUACCUCAUAUACUCAUUCAUCAUUAACAGAGUUACAUAGUUUGUCUAUUUGGAUAUAUGGUUUUAACCAGUCUGGACUAUUCUCUAUC